AAAGGAAUUGACGGGGACCCGCACAAGCGGUGGAACAUGUGGUUCAAUUCGAUGCUACGCGAAGAACCUCACCAGGGCUUGACAUGUAGGAAGUAGUGAACCGAAAGGGGAACGACCUGUCAAGUCAGGAAUCUACACAGGUGCUGCAUGGCUGUCGUCAGCUCGUGUCGUGAGAUGUUGGGUUAAGUCCCGCAACGAGCGCAACCAUUGUCUUUAGUUGCCACUUUUUAGUGCCGUAAGGUAUUAAAGAAGCACUCUAGAGAGACUGCCUGGGAUAACCAGGAGGAAGGUGGAGAUGACGUCAAGUCAGUACGGCCUUUAUGUCCUGGGCUACACACGUGUUACAAUGGAUGGUAUAGAGGGUUGCCAACCCGCGAGGGGGAGCUAAUCCCAAAAAAGCAUCCUCAGUUCGGAUUGAAGUCUGCAAUUCGACUUCAUGAAGCCGGAAUCGCUAGUAAUGGCAGAUCAGCAGGCUGCCGUGAAUACGUUCCCGGGUCUUGUACACACCGCCCGU
rnacentral:rRNA from 1 species